GUCUUCUGACUAAAACCUCUAAAAGCACCAGAUCUCAUAUGAUCUUGGAAGCUAAGCAGUGUCAGUCCUUGUUAGUACUUGGAUGGGAGACUACCAAUGUAUACCUAGUGCUGUAGGCA
rnacentral:rRNA from 1 species